rnacentral:rRNA from 1 species
AAGACAUGCAAGUCGAACGAGACUUUUUUGUAGUUAAUACAGGGAAAGUUUAGUGGCGAACGGGUGCGUAACACGUGAGUAAUCUGCCGAGAAGUGGGGGAUAGCUUGCCGAAAGGCAAAUUAAUACCGCAUAUGGCCAUCCUUCGAUUGGAGGAGAAGCCAAAGCCGCAAGGCGCUUCUUGAUGAACUCGCGGCCUAUCAGCUAGAUGGCGGGGUAACGGCCCACCAUGGCUAUGACGGGUAGCUGGUCUGAGAGGACGACCAGCCACACUGGAACUGAGACACGGUCCAGACACCUACGGGUGGCAGCAGUCGAGAAUUUUUCACAAUGGGGGAAACCCUGAUGGAGCGACGCCGCGUGGAGGAUGAAGGCCCUCGGGUCGUAAACUCCUGUCAUGCGGGAACAAGAAAGUGAUAGU